GAGCGCGGCGUAAAUCCCGUUCCUAAUCCACAUCACUUUUGGUAAGAACAAAAGCUGUGUGCAAAUGAAUAUUUCCAUCUUAUUUCAAAUUCUAGGUUUCAACUGCAAUAUUAAUGCUAUUUUACAGUGUAAUUUACUUGUAAUAAUAUGUCAUUAUUGCCAUUUUACAGUUUUCUCUUAAAGUAGUAAAGAAAAUGUUUUAAAAGGCACAAAUAGCUGCAGCACAAAUCUCCAUUCAGCUUAAGAAUCUGUGCUCUCCCGUCAGAAUGGCACAUAAUUGAAAACAAUGACAUCCCCAAUGCGCUGAACGCUCCCGUCAUUACUGCAUUUUUAUUUUGGAAUAAAGGAGCACGCUCACAGCUUUUUUCCCCUAAAUAGUAAAUAUAAAUUAAACAUUUCUCUUCUGUUCCCAUUUCUCUUUCUGUUCCUGGCAUCUGCCAGGGCUGACCUCGAGCACUUCCCGCACGCGCAUCCCAAGCCAGCAGGCUGCUGAGGCAGGAACCUCCACGGGAAGCUCAGAGAGCCCGCCUGAAACACCGCGCAAAAAGGCUCUCUGACAUGAAAAUUCCUUGACCAGCCAGACCCUGGGCAGAGGUCAGAGAGAACCCUGAGUGAUGAAGGGAAGAAGGCGGAUAGGAACCUGCAGCAGGUAAGAGCAAUGCUCCAGAGAAGGUAAAUCAUUUAAAAUAGUUAUGAUCGUGCUACAGAGCUGGUCAAAGUCAUUGAAAAACUAAAUAAACAUGACAUUAAGCCAGUAAUCCCCCCAUUUUUAUUUUUUAUUUUUUAAGGCUUUAAUCAAAAUACAAUACCAGGAAGGACAUUAAAGAGGCCGUGCUCUUCACUGGUGCUUGCGGGUAGCCUUUGAAGAAAAGUAGCUUUGGAGAAGACGUACGAAUGGCAGCAGCAGGUCAGACCACAGUCCCAUCCCGUCCUGCACCCCAGUUUGUGAUGGUGGCCAACUGAUGCCCCACAGCAGAGAGCAAAACCAGAGCCAACAUAUACUUACCAGCUUUUCACCAGCUGCCAGCAAUUUGUGACUUAAGGACUCCAAGUGCAGAGGUGAUGCCUUUAACAUUUAUUUAUUUAUUUAUUUAUUUUAAUCCCACCAACGAUUUCUCCCCUCCCCACACCAAACGUUUUGUCCAAGUAUUUUUGAACCCUCACCAACUUCCAGCAUCAACUUUUUGUGGCAAGAAGUGCACAGCUGAAACCAUGGAAAAUAAAUACCCUUUUCUUUGUUUUAGCCUGUCACCCACACUAGCCUGCACGUGUUUAUGAAGACACUUAAGACACCAACACCUAUGUUUAUGAAGACAUUUCCUUCAUUCCUCUGUGGAAUAUUCUGACCACACUGAUGCUCAGCUGGGCAGCCGAGAGGUGGCCAGCUACAUCCUGGUGGCUCUCAUCCUGCCAAAAUAUUUCCUUCAAUUUUCAGUUAGCAGGAAAAACACACCGAAUUUCCAGGCAGUUAGGAGUUCAUGUGUGUGUAUGCCCACUAUUUUACUUCAGGUAGCCUACAAUGGAAACAACAUCAUGAUAAUAUUCAAUAUUUUGAAUCCCACAGAAAGCCCAAGCCUUCUCCCCUCGUGUUGUUUUGGGAAAUGCUGAUUAGGAGAGAAAAUUUUAUCCCACAUGAGAGGUAUCCUUGAGUACAAGUAGUCUUUAAAAGUUAAAGCUCCGUGCUUCUGAACAGCCUGAAAUGUCACGUAGCGGAGCAUCCAAGUGCAGCACCUAAAUAUUGUUAUUGAUGCUGUCAGUGAAGACCACAAAAAGCCCUGUUUUGUCUACAGCAAAGUUAUUUGAACAUGCUUGCAAACUGAAUCCACAGGAGUGAAUGGGAGGGGUUAGUACUCCUCUGCAAAACCCCCUACUUCCCAUAUUUUGGAAGAACAGUGCCUAAAAUCCCCUCCCACCCUUCUCCAUUUGGGGGAAUAAAAUGUCUCCUUCCGCUCACCAUCAUCUGCCUCAGUUUGUAUGGGCCAUCAAGACUUCGGUAGGAGUAUGCAGUUAUAGAUUUCUUUACUUUAAAAAAAAUAAUGAGUCAGAUGGAUACAUUGCACCUGGAAUCACCUGCACAGGUUGAAAUGCAUAAAUGAUGUGUGCUUGGCUUACAUUAAAAUCACAGUUCUAUUUAAAACAGAGCAUUUGAAACUUGUUACGGCUAUCUACAGGUUUUUAGGAGUGGUACAUCUUAAACAUAUACAACCACUGAAGAGAAACACAGACUGCACGCAUUCAAUGCAGCAGUUACCACAAGUCACCAGAGAUGGGAGUAACAAAGCUUUUCAGAUUUUUCUUUCUUUCGUUUAAUAAAACUUCUUUUAUUCUGGAAUAAUUUAUUAGCUUCAGUAGUUAAAAAGAACACCAAAAUAGAAAAAGAAAGCUGAAAUAUAUGCCAUGUUUCAGUAUAUAUUUCUUUGAAGAUGUCGCAAAGUUUUUAAGUUCAGUUUCUAUUUUCAGAAUAUUGUAAUAGCGUCAAAAAACUGCCUGUCUAGAACAACUUACUUCAAUUUUUAACUAUUUAUUUUUAGAACAGGGGCAUCUUGUGAAGUAAAAACAUUCAAACAAAUACGGCUUGCUAAAUGUAAUGAAGAGAAGCAACAAUACAAAGGAAUCCAUUAAUUGUGCAGUGCUUUCUAACAACUUCUUCAUUUAUACAUAUAGUAAUUAGGGGGCAUGGGAAUACUUUGGAAGCCAGAAUGGAUUUCAGAUAGACAAGACAACACGUUUAGCUGGUACCAGCGCAGCAAAGAGGUGACUUCUCUUUUCCCAGCACAUACACUCCGCUUCUCUCUCACCUUUCCCUGUGUCUGUAGCCCAAGCAUGAGCCCUUCUCUGUGACUAGCACUUUGCUGACUUCCAAGAGAAACGGGCAGGUUCUACUUUCUUUUGGAUUUGACUUUUAAACACAAUAUUUGGUGCUCCUAAUUUUUUCUCAAUUACACAACAUCAAAAUAAUGCCAAGAACAAACACCAGCUGCACCAGGGAAACGAUACAAAAGAGAAUUUCAAGGGCUGCAAAACACAUGAAGUCCUAAUUUCCCUGCCUUCAAAUACUCUCCCCCCUCCUGCCACCAUGAAAAAGGAGAAGCUCUUUAAAACAAAAUCAACAACUAUGUAUUGAAGUCAUCUGCCCUCCCUCUUUCUCCUGAGUUCAGUUAAAGGCACGAAGCCAACUUUUCCACAAUAAGCCUCCUGGCUUUGACUGACCCAUGCCUUGCUCUUUCAGGGACAAGCACUGAAGCUCAAAGGCGGCGUCUCGAGGGAAGCCUCAGUGCAGGACAUGACCAGCGCUCCCCAAAUCUCACACGUGGAGGGGAAGACAGACAGUGAGACGUUGCCUUUUUGAAGUUUAUAACAGUUUAUAACAAGCAAAUUUAUCACAGUGAUGCGAGAGGUCUGACACACCAG